CAAAGUGCUACGAUUACAGGCAUGAGCCACUGUGCCUGGCUCCAUACAAGAUUUUAAGUUUCUUAUGGAGUAGGAAAGUUAGCCUGAGUUUUGUGAAAAACCAGAGAAAAUAAGAGGACAGUAGACAAGGUUUUUCCAGUUUGCAUAAUAGACAAGCUCUCACUGUACUGCCCAGGCUGGAGUGCA